rnacentral:rRNA from 1 species
GCUGGCGGUAUGCCUAACACAUGCAAGUCGUACGAGAGUUUUUAACUCAAGUGGCGGACGGGUGAGUAACACGUGAGAAUCUACCUUUAGGAGGGGGAUAACAACUGGAAACGGUUGCUAAUACCCCAUAUGCUUUCGAGUGAAAUGGAUUUAUCCGCCUAGAGAGGAGCUCGCGGCUGAUUAGCUUGUUGGUAGGGUAAUGGCCUACCAAGGCGACGAUCAGUAUCUGGUUUGAGAGGACGAUCAGACACACUGGAACUGAGACACGGUCCAGACUCCUACGGGAGGCAGCAGUGGGGAAUUUUCCGCAAUGGGCGAAAGCCUGACAGAGCAAUACCGCGUGAGGGAAGACGGCCUAUGGGUUGUAAACCUCUUUUCUCAGGGAGGAACUCAAUGACGUGUACCUGAGGAAUAAGCAUCGGCUAACUCCGUGCCAGCAGCCGCGGUAAGACGGAGGAUGCAAGUGUUAUCCGGAAUCACUGGGCGUAAAGCGU